GACGAACGCUGGCGGCGCGCUUAACACAUGCAAGUCGAACGGAAAGGCCUCUUUCGGGGGGUACUCGAGUGGCGAACGGGUGAGUAACACGUGAGUAACCUGCCCUUGACUUUGGGAUAACUUCAGGAAACUGGGGCUAAUACCGGAUAGGAGCUCCUGCUGCAUGGUGGGGGUUGGAAAGUUUCGGCGGUUGGGGAUGGACUCGCGGCUUAUCAGCUUGUUGGUGGGGUAGUGGCUUACCAAGGCUUUGACGGGUAGCCGGCCUGAGAGGGUGACCGGCCACAUUGGGACUGAGAUACGGCCCAGACUCCUACGGGAGGCAGCAGUGGGGAAUAUUGCACAAUGGGUGGAAGCCUGAUGCAGCAGCGCCGUGUGCGGGAUGACGGCCUUCGGGUUGUAAACCGCUUUCGCUCAUGACGAAGCUUUGUGUGACGGUAGUGGGUAAAGAAGCACCGGCUAACUACGUG
rnacentral:rRNA from 1 species